rnacentral:rRNA from 1 species
UACAGAGGGUGCGAGCGUUGUCCGGAAUCACUGGGCGUAAAGCGCACGUAGGCGGACUCUUAAGUCGGUGGUGAAAUCCUGGAGCUCAACUCCAGAACUGCCUUCGAUACUGGGAGUCUCGAGUCCGGGAGAGGUGAGUGGAACUGCGAGUGUAGAGGUGAAAUUCGUAGAUAUUCGCAAGAACACCAGUGGCGAAGGCGGCUCACUGGCCCGGUACUGACGCUGAGGUGCGAAAGCGUGGGGAGCAAACAGG